GAUGAAGAACGUAGCGAAAUGCGAUACUUGGUGUGAAUUGCAGAAUCCCGUGAACCAUCGAGUCUUUGAACGCAAGUUGCGCCCGAAGCCAUUUGGUUGAGGGCACGUCUGCCUGGGCGUCACAUAUCGUUGCCCGAUGCCUAUAGCACUGUGAUAGGAAAUUCUAGGGCGAAAGAUGGCUUCCCGUGAGCGUUGUUGCCUCGCGGUUGGUUGAAAAUCGAGUCCUUGGUAGGGUGUGCCAUGAUAGAUGGUGGUCGAGUUUGCACGAGACCGAUCAUGUGUGCGCUCCCCAAAAUAUGGACUCUUUGACCCCACACGCGUCUUUUGACGCUCAUGACGAGACCUCAGGUCAGGCGGGGCUACCCGCUGAGUUUAAGCAUAUCAAUAAGCGGAGGA
rnacentral:misc_RNA from 1 species